rnacentral:rRNA from 1 species
ACUCUUCGGAGUUAGUGGCGGACGGGUGAGUAACACGUGGGAACGUGCCUUUAGGUUCGGAAUAACUCAGGGAAACUUGUGCUAAUACCGAAUGUGCCCUUCGGGGGAAAGAUUUAUCGCCUUUAGAGCGGCCCGCGUCUGAUUAGCUAGUUGGUGAGGUAAAGGCUCACCAAGGCGACGAUCAGUAGCUGGUCUGAGAGGAUGAUCAGCCACAUUGGGACUGAGACACGGCCCAAACUCCUACGGGAGGCAGCAGUGGGGAAUCUUGCGCAAUGGGCGAAAGCCUGACGCAGCCAUGCCGCGUGAAUGAUGAAGGUCUUAGGAUUGUAAAAUUCUUUCAGUAGGGACGAUAAUGACGGUACCUACAGAAGAAGCCCCGGCUAACUUCGUGCCAGCAGCCGCGGUAAUACGAAGGGGGCUAGCGUUGCUCGGAAUUACUGGGCGUAAAGGGAGCGUAGGCGGACAUUUAAGUCAGGGGUGAAAUCCCGGGGCUCAACCUCGGAAUUGCCUUUGAUACUGGGUGUCUUGAGUGUGAGAGAGGUAUGUGGAACUCCGAGUGUAGAGGUGAAAUUCGUAGAUAUUCGGAAGAACACCAGUGGCGAAGGCGACAUACUGGCUCAUUACUGACGCUGAGGCUCGAAAGCGUGGGGAGCAAACAGGAUUAGAUACCCUGGUAGUCCACGCCGUA